rnacentral:rRNA from 1 species
CCUACGGGGGGCAGCAGUGGGGAAUAUUGGACAAUGGGGGGAACCCUGAUGCAGCGACGCCGCGUGAGUGAAGAAGUAUUUCGGUAUGUAAAGCUCUAUCAGCAGGGAAGAAAGAAAUGACGGUACCUGACUAAGCAGCCCCGGCUAACUACGUGCCAGCAGCCGCGGUAAUACGUAGGGGGCAAGCGUUAUCCGGAUUUACUGGGUGUAAAGGGAGCGUAGACGGCGAUGCAAGUCUGAAGUGAACGGCGGGGGCCCAACCCCCGGACUGCAUUGGAAACUGUAUGGCUGGAGUGCAGGGGAGGUAGGUGGAAUUCCUAGUGUAGCGGUGAAAUGCGUAGAUAUUAGGAGGAACACCAGUGGCGAAGGCGGCUUACUGGACGGUAACUGACGUUGAGGCUCGAAAGCGUGGGGAGCAAACAGGAUUAGAUACCCCUGUAGUC